AGAGUUUGAUCCUGGCUCAGGAUGAACGCUAGCUACAGGCUUAACACAUGCAAGUCGAGGGGCAUCAGGAAGAAAGCUUGCUUUCUUUGCUGGCGACCGGCGCACGGGUGAGUAACACGUAUCCAACCUGCCCUUUACUCGGGGAUAGCCUUUCGAAAGAAAGAUUAAUACCCGAUAGCAUAAUGAUUCCGCAUGGUUUCAUUAUUAAAGGAUUCCGGUAAAGGAUGGGGAUGCGUUCCAUUAGGUUGUUGGUGAGGUAACGGCCCACCAAGCCUUCGAUGGAUAGGGGUUCUGAGAGGAAGGUCCCCCACAUUGGAACUGAGACACGGUCCAAACUCCUACGGGAGGCAGCAGUGAGGAAUAUUGGUCAAUGGGCGCUAGCCUGAACCAGCCAAGUAGCGUGAAGGAUGAAGGCUCUAUGGGUCGUAAACUUCUUUUAUAUAAGAAUAAAGUGCAGUAUGUAUACUGUUUUGUAUGUAUUAUAUGAAUAAGGAUCGGCUAACUCCGUGCCAGCAGCCGCGGUAAUACGGAGGAUCCGAGCGUUAUCCGGAUUUAUUGGGUUUAAAGGGAGCGUAGGUGGACUGGUAAGUCAGUUGUGAAAGUUUGCGGCUCAACCGUAAAAUUGCAGUUGAUACUGUCAGUCUUGAGUACAGUAGAGGUGGGCGGAAUUCGUGGUGUAGCGGUGAAAUGCUUAGAUAUCACGAAGAACUCCGAUUGCGAAGGCAGCUCACUGGACUGCAACUGACACUGAUGCUCGAAAGUGUGGGUAUCAAACAGGAUUAGAUACCCUGGUAGUCCACACAGUAAACGAUGAAUACUCGCUGUUUGCGAUAUACAGUAAGCGGCCAAGCGAAAGCAUUAAGUAUUCCACCUGGGGAGUACGCCGGCAACGGUGAAACUCAAAGGAAUUGACGGGGGCCCGCACAAGCGGAGGAACAUGUGGUUUAAUUCGAUGAUACGCGAGGAACCUUACCCGGGCUUAAAUUGCAGUGGAAUGAUGUGGAAACAUGUCAGUGAGCAAUCACCGCUGUGAAGGUGCUGCAUGGUUGUCGUCAGCUCGUGCCGUGAGGUGUCGGCUUAAGUGCCAUAACGAGCGCAACCCUUAUCUUCAGUUACUAACAGGUCAUGCUGAGGACUCUGGAGAGACUGCCGUCGUAAGAUGUGAGGAAGGUGGGGAUGACGUCAAAUCAGCACGGCCCUUACGUCCGGGGCUACACACGUGUUACAAUGGGGGGUACAGAAGGCAGCUAGCGGGUGACCGUAUGCUAAUCCCAAAAUCCUCUCUCAGUUCGGAUCGAAGUCUGCAACCCGACUUCGUGAAGCUGGAUUCGCUAGUAAUCGCGCAUCAGCCACGGCGCGGUGAAUACGUUCCCGGGCCUUGUACACACCGCCCGUCAAGCCAUGGGAGCCGGGGGUACCUGAAGUACGUAACCGCAAGGAUCGUCCUAGGGUAAAACUGGUGACUGGGGCUAAGUCGUAACAAGGUAGCCGUACCGGAAGGUGCGGCUG
rnacentral:rRNA from 1 species